CAGUGGGGAAUCUUGCGCAAUGCGCGAAAGCGUGACGCAGCAACGCCGCGUGGGGGAAGACGGCCUUCGGGUUGUAAACCCCUUUCAGGAGGGACGAAGGUUCACCGGUGAAUAGCCGUGUGAAUUGACGGUACCUCCACAAGAAGGUCCGGCUAACUACGUGCCAGCAGCCGCGGUAAUACGUAGGGACCAAGCGUUGUCCGGAAUCAUUGGGCGUAAAGCGCGCGUAGGUGGCUUCGUAAGUCCGUUGUGAAAGUCAAAGGCUCAACCUUUGAAAGCCGAUGGAUACUGCGAAGCUAGAGUACGGAAGAGGCGAGUGGAAUUCCUGGUGUAGCGGUGGAAUGCGCAGAUAUCAGGAGGAACACCAAUAGCGAAGGCAGCUCGCUGGGACGUUACUGACACUGAGGCGCGAAAGCGUGGGGAGCGAACAGGAUUAGA
rnacentral:rRNA from 1 species